GAUGAACGCUGGCGGCGUGCCUAAUACAUGCAAGUCGAGCGAAUGGAUUAAGAGCUUGCUCUUAUGAAGUUAGCGGCGGACGGGUGAGUAACACGUGGGUAACCUGCCCAUAAGACUGGGAUAACUCCGGGAAACCGGGGCUAAUACCGGAUAACAUUUUGAACCGCAUGGUUCGAAAUUGAAAGGCGGCUUCGGCUGUCAAUUAGGGAUGGCCCCGCGUCGCAUUAGCUAGUUGGUGAGGUAACGGCUCACCAAGGCAACGAUGCGUAGCCGACCUGAGAGGGUGAUCGGCCACACUGGGACUGAGACACGGCCCAGACUCCUACGGGAGGCAGCAGUAGGGAAUCUUCCGCAAUGGACGAAAGUCUGACGGAGCAACGCCGCGUGAGUGAUGAAGGCUUUCGGGUCGUAAAACUCUGUUGUUAGGGAAGAACAAGUGCUAGUUGAAUAAGCUGACACCUUGACGGUACCUAACCAGAAAGCCACGGCUAACUACGUGCCAGCCGCCGCAGUAA
rnacentral:rRNA from 1 species